UGAGAGAAAAGAUGACUUUCUGUAGUUCGAGGAAGGUGAGAAGUGAGAAUUCCCCACCUCCACCCCGGUAAGCUUGCCACUCCCGUGGAAAAGUUUUGCUGGGUCUCUGAUCCUGUCCUAGUGGGGGAAGCAGUGUCCUGCUGCAACUCUCUCUCUCUGGAAUGAAGUUUAAGAAUACCUCAGUAGGCUGGGCGGGAGACCCCAUGCACAAGUGGCAGUGCCGGGUCAGGACAGAGCAGGGGCCAUCCACAGUGAUGGGUCCCAAGAAGACUGACAAGUAAGAAGUGCUCUCAUCUCCAUACUGCUGAGGCUGCAGAGCUGAGAGGCUAGGUCACUCAAUGGACACCGAGUGGCCAGCAGCCUGGCAUUCCCCUGCUGUCUCCGCCCCAGACACAGAAAUGAUACACUUUUCCAAACGCCUGUGUCAAAAGCAUCUCAUCCUAAAGGGUCCCAAGGAUCCUGGGAAUACAGAAGCAGACUCUGGGCUGUAAGGAGGCCAAACCUGCUUCGGUGCUCAAUUGCUCUGGGCCUUGAGUGGCCCCAAGGCUCUUCCACAUAAGAAGCCUGAGUUCCCCAGCCAGAAACUGGUGUUCUAUGACCCUGGGCAGUAGCUGGAUGCUUAAAGCUUCAUCACAUGUAACUCACAGGAGGAGCUGGGGUGAUGCCUCAGUUGGGAUAGUGCUUCCAGGAUAAUUGUGAGGACCUGCUUUCCUCUGAACCAUCCAUGGGAAAAGCUGGGCGAGGAGGCAGUUACUUGUAAUCCCAGCAGGAGGGAGGCACAGGUAGGAGGCUCCCUAGGACUCUGUGGCCAGCCAGCUUAGCUUCGUUGUUGAAGCGAGCAGGAGUCCCAGUGAGAAGCUCCGGUUCAAAAUCCAAGGUAGGGUGUGGCUGACAGAUGGUGCCAUGGUUAAAAGUGCUGGUUGGGCAAGCUUGAGGACCUGAGCUUGAAAAAAAAUGUUGAUUGUGGUUACAUGUGCUCUUGGAGAUAAAGACAGGGGAAUUUCUGGGGUUUGUUGACCUCUGGCCUAUAGACACACACACACACACACACACACACACACACACACACGUACACAUACAUACACACACACUCACACAGGCACACACACACCCCAACAAACCAACAAAACCAAUAUAUCCAGCUCCCAAGAAACAACACUCAAGGAUGAAUUCUGACUUCCACGUACAUAUGUGUGCACAUAUCCUUCCCAUCCAAACAUAUAUACACAAACAUACAUAUAAAUAAAUGAAUGAAGAAAUAUAGGAGCCAACCCUUCUGCAAGGAAAUGUGUCUUUGGUGUCCACCUGCCAAAGUGUGUUCUAAACCACUGAGCUGCCUACAGGCUCAAGGGUAUGACUCAGUUGUCCCAUAACACGACAACCUCCAUUUUACUCUCUGAGAUGCCUUAUAACUGAACUUUUGUAAACCCCCAUGCUAGAGGUAACAGUGGUGAGUGACAGGCUUGUUCAAGCUGGAUUGCCAAACCCUGCCUGUGUCUCUUACUCAUGGGAUUGUGGUCAGGGUGUCAAUAGCCAUCCAAAGGGGUAAGGGUCUUUAUAAUCCACCAUAAGGUUCAAUACUUCCAUCUGCAGAAAAGCCAGGCUCAGGCCUCACCCAAGGAAGGCUUAGAAAGGGCACUUGGGCAUUUUAUUAAGCAGGUGUGUUUAAACUGGCUCUCCUUAAAAAUAUGCUUGGGCUUUUCUUUCAAUAGAGAAAUGUCACCCAGCUUAAAGCAGUGAAGACACACCCGACACCAUUCUUUUCAGUUUUGAAAGGACUUUUCGUACAAUCAGGUGGUAUGUUACACAACCGAACUGCCCGUCACCUCCCUCUGGGUUUCCAUGGGUGUUUGUUUCUUUUUAAUUCUAGAGAUGAGACAUCUGUUCUCCACUCUCGCUCUGGGACAGUAGCUCUUCUCCAUGACCCAAACUAUCCCCAGCUGUGUCCUUUGGAACGGAGAGCAUGACCCUCUCUCUGUGUGGAACACUCCGCACCCAGGAGGCAUCAUUCUGAACUCCAUUCAGGAUGGAGCCUUCCAGACCUUCAUCAUCUCAAAACUAUGUGCAGGGCAGCAAGACUGUACUCAUGACCCAGGGUGACCACGUACUCUCUCCUCCUCAGAACCUGAUCUUUGGAGAAGCAGCCAUGGUGCACAGAGGAAGGCGAUCGCCAUGGUGCCCCCAAAGCUCCAGCAGCCAUGUGCUAAUAAUGCAAGAAGCUGAAGGAGAUUGAGGGGGAGACUUGGCUCAGAGACUGGAAACAGAAAUGAUAAGCGAAGUGAUGCUUAAUUAAAAGCACAUUUGUAAAAAGAUCAGGCCUGGCCAAAAAAAAAAAAAAAAAAAAAAAUGACAACGAUAGCUAAACUUUUAAAAUCAAGUCACUCUCUCCUGAGAUUUCUUCCAGAGCCAGGCUGAAUUCAGGACUCUGGGUUUUGUCUUCUAGGAGAGUCUGCAGAUCUGGGGAGGAAUGGGGGGCAGGCAGUGAGGGGGAGGUAAGCUAAGUGACAAAGUGCUAGCUCCUGGGGCGUCUGCAAAGGGCAGGGCUUCUCCAAGCAUGACCCGAGAUAUGAAAGGCCAUGGCAGGAAUGAGGCAAAACUCAAACAUGCCUCACCUACGUGCCAGCCACAAACCCAGGGCAGACACCGCAAACACACAUGAAUGGCUUCACAAGGAUGGAGGUCCCGAAACAAAAACCUGAACUCCAAAUCAUGAAUGUCCUGGGAAAAUGGAUCACUCUGUAAAGUGCCUGCCUUGCAAGCACAAGGACAUGAGUGUAAACCUCAGAACUCACAAACUCACAU
rnacentral:lncRNA from 1 species